GGUCUCAUUCUUCCAUUGUUUCCGGGUUCAGGCUCACGUCGAAUGCUGAAGGGUUGUAAAGGGCUCUCGUUAGAAUGUGGUUUAGUUCAAAAGACUACAGGUUGGAGAAUGGGACAAGGCUUAUCCCUGUGUAGGUCAAACAUUGCAGUGAUGCCCCAGCAUCUCAUCACCAAUCACAAGGAAUUCAGCUGCCUCCCAGGGUGA
rnacentral:lncRNA from 1 species